CAGCAGCCGCGGUAAUACGUAGGUGGCGAGCGUCGUCCGGAAUUAUUGGGCGUAAGGGAGCGCAGGCGGACAUAUAAGUCCAUCUUAAAAGUGCGGGGCUCUACCCCGUGAGGGGAUGGAAACUGUAUGCCUUGAGUGCAGGAGAGGAAAGCGGAAUUCCCAGUGUAGCGGUGAAAUGCGUAGAUAUUGGGAGGAACACCAGUGGCGAAGGCGGCUUUCUGGACUGUAACUGACGCUGAGGCUCGAAAGCGUGGGGAGCGAACAGGAUUAGAUACCCCAGUAGUCCCUGUCUCUUAUACAC
rnacentral:rRNA from 1 species